rnacentral:rRNA from 1 species
AGAGUUUGAUCAUGGCUCAGAUUGAACGCUGGCGGCAGGCCUAACACAUGCAAGUCGAGCGGUAGCACAGAGAGCUUGCUCUCGGGUGACGAGCGGCGGACGGGUGAGUAAUGUCUGGGAAACUGCCUGAUGGAGGGGGAUAACUACUGGAAACGGUAGCUAAUACCGCAUAACGUCGCAAGACCAAAGUGGGGGACCUUCGGGCCUCAUGCCAUCAGAUGUGCCCAGAUGGGAUUAGCUAGUAGGUGGGGUAACGGCUCACCUAGGCGACGAUCCCUAGCUGGUCUGAGAGGAUGACCAGCCACACUGGAACUGAGACACGGUCCAGACUCCUACGGGAGGCAGCAGUGGGGAAUAUUGCACAAUGGGCGCAAGCCUGAUGCAGCCAUGCCGCGUGUGUGAAGAAGGCCUUCGGGUUGUAAAGCACUUUCAGCGGGGAGGAAGGCGUUAAGGUUAAUAACCUUGGCGAUUGACGUUACCCGCAGAAGAAGCACCGGCUAACUCCGUGCCAGCAGCCGCGGUAAUACGGAGGGUGCAAGCGUUAAUCGGAAUUACUGGGCGUAAAGCGCACGCAGGCGGUCUGUCAAGUCGGAUGUGAAAUCCCCGGGCUCAACCUGGGAACUGCAUUCGAAACUGGCAGGCUAGAGUCUUGUAGAGGGGGUAGAAUUCCAGGUGUAGCGGUGAAAUGCGUAGAGAUCUGGAGGAAUACCGGUGGCGAAGGCGGCCCCCUGGACAAAGACUGACGCUCAGGUGCGAAAGCGUGGGGAGCAAACAGGAUUAGAUACCCUGGUAGUCCACGCCGUAAACGAUGUCGAUUUGGAGGUUGUGCCCUUGAGGCGUGGCUUCCGGAGCUAACGCGUUAAAUCGACCGCCUGGGGAGUACGGCCGCAAGGUUAAAACUCAAAUGAAUUGACGGGGGCCCGCACAAGCGGUGGAGCAUGUGGUUUAAUUCGAUGCAACGCGAAGAACCUUACCUGGUCUUGACAUCCACAGAACUUUCCAGAGAUGGAUUGGUGCCUUCGGGAACUGUGAGACAGGUGCUGCAUGGCUGUCGUCAGCUCGUGUUGUGAAAUGUUGGGUUAAGUCCCGCAACGAGCGCAACCCUUAUCCUUUGUUGCCAGCGGUUCGGCCGGGAACUCAAAGGAGACUGCCAGUGAUAAACUGGAGGAAGGUGGGGAUGACGUCAAGUCAUCAUGGCCCUUACGACCAGGGCUACACACGUGCUACAAUGGCAUAUACAAAGAGAAGCGACCUCGCGAGAGCAAGCGGACCUCAUAAAGUAUGUCGUAGUCCGGAUUGGAGUCUGCAACUCGACUCCAUGAAGUCGGAAUCGCUAGUAAUCGUAGAUCAGAAUGCUACGGUGAAUACGUUCCCGGGCCUUGUACACACCGCCCGUCACACCAUGGGAGUGGGUUGCAAAAGAAGUAGGUAGCUUAACCUUCGGGAGGGCGCUUACCACUUUGUGAUUCAUGACUGGGGUGAAGUCGUAACAAGGUAACCGUAGGGGAACCUGCGGUUG